rnacentral:rRNA from 1 species
UACGGAGGAUCCGAGCGUUAUCCGGAUUUAUUGGGUUUAAAGGGUGCGCAGGCGGAAGAUUAAGUCGGUGGUGAAAUUUUGCAGCUCGACUGUAAAAGUGCCUUCGAAACUGGUUUCCUUGAGUGUGGAUGAAGUAGGCGGAAUUUGUGGUGUAGCGGUGAAAUGCAUAGAUAUCACGAGGAACUCCGAUUGCGCAGGCAGCUUACUAAGCCAUAACUGACGCUCAGGCACGAAGGCGUGGGGAUCAAACAGGAUUAGAUACCCU